GACGGAGGAUGCAAGUGUUAUCCGGAAUCACUGGGCGUAAAGCGUCUGUAGGUGGUCAAAUAAGUCAACUGUUAAAUCUUGAGGCUCAACCUCAAAAAUCGCAGUCGAAAACUAUUAGACUAGAGUAUAGUAGGGGUAAAGGGAAUUUCCAGUGGAGCGGUGAAAUGCGUAGAGAUUGGAAAGAACACCGAUGGCGAAGGCACUUUACUGGGCUAUUACUAACACUCAGAGACGAAAGCUAGGGUAGCAAAUGGG
rnacentral:rRNA from 1 species